rnacentral:rRNA from 1 species
AUUGAACGCUGGCGGCAGGCUUAACACAUGCAAGUCGAGCGAGCGGCGGAAGGGUGUGUAAUGUCUGGGAAACUGCCUGAUGGAGGGGGAUAACUACUGAAAACGGUAGCUAAUACCGCAUACCAUCAGAUGUGCCCAGAUGGGAUUAGCUAGUAGGUGGGGGAAUGGCUCACCUAGGCGACGAUCCCUAGCUGGUCUGAGAGGUUGACCAGCAACACUGGAACUGAGACACGGUCCAGACUCCUACGGGAGGCAGCAGUGGGGAAGAUUGCACAAUGGGCGCAAGCCUGAUGCAGCCAGGCCGCGUGUGUGAAGAAGGCCUUCGGGUUGUAAAGCACUUUCAGCGAGGAGGCGUUACUCGCAGAAGAAGCACCGGCUAACUCCGUGCCAGCAGCCGCGGUAAUUC